rnacentral:rRNA from 1 species
GGACCCGCACAAGCGGUGGAGCAUGUGGUUUAAUUCGAAGCAACGCGAAGAACCUUACCAAGUCUUGACAUCGGAAUGACCGUCUCUUAACAGAGGCUUCCCUUCGGGGCAUUCCAGACAGGUGGUGCAUGGUUGUCGUCAGCUCGUGUCGUGAGAUGUUGGGUUAAGUCCCGCAACGAGCGCAACCCUUAUCCUUAGUAGCCAGCACGUUAUGGUGGGCACUCUGGGGAGACUGCCAGGGAUAACCUGGAGGAAGGUGGGGAUGACGUCAAAUCAUCAUGCCCCUUAUGAUUUGGGCUACACACGUGCUACAAUGGCGUAAACAAAGGGAAGCAAGGGAGUGAUCCGGAGCAAAUCUCAAAAAUAACGUCUCAGUUCGGAUUGUAGUCUGCAACUCGACUACAUGAAGCUGGAAUCGCUAGUAAUCGCGGAUCAGAAUGCCGCGGUGAAUACGUUCCCGGGUCUUGUACACACCGCCCGUCACACCAUGGGAGUUGGUAACGCCCGAAGUCAGUGACCCAACCGCAAGGAGGGAGCUGCCGAAGGCGGGACUGAUAACUGGGGUGAAGUCGUAACAAGGUAGCCGUAUCGGAAGGUGCGGCU